GACGAACGCUGGCGGCGUGCCUAAUACAUGCAAGUUGAGCGAGCGAAACUAACAGAUUUACUUCGGUAAUGACGUUAGGAAAGCGAGCGGCGGAUGGGUGAGUAACACGUGGGGAACCUGCCCCAUAGUCUGGGAUACCACUUGGAAACAGGUGCUAAUACCGGAUAAGAAAGCAGAUCGCAUGAUCAGCUUUUAAAAGGCGGCGUAAGCUGUCGCUAUGGGAUGGCCCCGCGGUGCAUUAGCUAGUUGGUAAGGUAAAGGCUUACCAAGGCGAUGAUGCAUAGCCGAGUUGAGAGACUGAUCGGCCACAUUGGGACUGAGACACGGCCCAAACUCCUACGGGAGGCAGCAGUAGGGAAUCUUCCACAAUGGACGCAAGUCUGAUGGAGCAACGCCGCGUGAGUGAAGAAGGUUUUCGGAUCGUAAAGCUCUGUUGUUGGUGAAGAAGGAUAGAGGUAGUAACUGGCCUUUAUUUGACGGUAAUCAACCAGAAAGUCACGGCUAACUACGUG
rnacentral:rRNA from 1 species